rnacentral:other from 1 species
ACAAUCCUGAUGUGUUCGUCAUCUAAAUGAUGUUUUGACCGAACACCAUUAACUACGGGAGCCCGGUGUUCUCAUAUGGUGUGCAUGCCGCUUACUUAUUGUUAACUGCGGAAGCAUGAAGUAUGAGACAGGGCACCCACCUGCCAUGAGCGGGAUCAAAACUUCUUGAUAUAUGACGGCACGAUUGGGAUUGUC